UUACCGAUUACGUUCCUUACGGUUCGUGAGAGGAGGUGAAACUAAUGAACCUUGCCCCAGAGCUCGUUUCUUACUAUUAUAGCGGACGUCAUAGCAGGAAUUAUCUUGUAUUUCGUCUGCAAAUGGCUAGAUGGUAAGAAGUAGACCGAGUGACUAGCCUAUCAACACCCGUUAAAUCUCUAAGAUACGUCAAAAAAAGCCCUUAACUAUGGCAGUAGUUAGGGGCUUUGGUGUUCUAAU
rnacentral:sRNA from 1 species